UCCAAAGGACCUGGGUUCAAUUCCUAA
rnacentral:piRNA from 1 species